rnacentral:lncRNA from 1 species
GAAGAAAUCUCACAAUGAUAGGUAGAAUAACAGUAAUUAAAUCUCUCAUCUUACCAAAUUUAACUUUCUUGGCAUCAGUAACAACCAUUUCCAAAGAAUUUUUAAAUGAAUUUAAAAAAAUGAUUUACAACUUCAUCUGGGGUAAUAAAAAAGAAAAAGUUAAAAGAAUCACCCUAUGUAAAGAUUACUUGGAAGGAGGCCUUAAAAUGAUCAACAUUGAUGAUUUUUUAUCAGCUAUACAAUUAUCCUGGGUCAAACGUUUAACAUCAACACAAUU